rnacentral:rRNA from 1 species
ACAAGCGUGGAGUAUGUGGUUUAAUUCGAUGCAACGCGAAGAACCUUACCUGGUCUUGACAUCCCGGAGACCCUUAGGAAACUAGGGGUGCUUCCAUCUGGAAGAAUCUGGAGACAGGUGCUGCAUGGCUGUCGUCAGCUCGUGUCGUGAGAUGUUGGGUUAAGUCCCGCAACGAGCGCAACCCUUGCCUUUAGUUGCCAGCAGUUCGGCUGGGCACUCUAAAGGGACUGCCGGUGUUAAACCGGAGGAAGGUGGGGAUGACGUCAAGUCCUCAUGGCCUUUAUGACCAGGGCUACACACGUACUACAAUGGCCGAUACAAAGGGCAGCGACACUGCGAGGUGAAGCCAAUCCCGUAAAAUCGGUCUCAGUCCGGAUUGGAGUCUGCAACUCGACUCCAUGAAGUUGGAAUCGCUAGUAAUCGUGGAUCAGCAUGCCACGGUGAAUACGUUCCCGGGCCUU